UACGGAGGGAGCAAGCGUUACUCGGAAUUAUUGGGCGUAAAGGGCGCGUAGGCGGCCCGCUAAGUCGAACGUGAAAUCCCUGGGCUCAACCCAGGAACUGCGUCCGAUACUGGCGGGCUUGAAUCCGGGAGAGGGAUGUGGAAUUCCAGGUGUAGCGGUGAAAUGCGUAGAUAUCUGGAGGAACACCGGUGGCGAAGGCGGCAUCCUGGACCGGUAUUGACGCUGAUGCGCGAAAGCCAGGGGAGCAAACGGG
rnacentral:rRNA from 1 species